rnacentral:misc_RNA from 1 species
ACGCGCGCACGCCGACCACUGUUGUGCACGUUGUAACAGUGCGACGUCGUCGUACCGACCACCGGGGCUGUUGUCGCGAUCGGCAGUCGUGUGAUUCUCCGGCGCGCCACUCUACUCUACAGCCGACUCGCGCCCGUCUCGAGUAAUCUCUGUCACGCGAUACUAAAAAUAUAAUACAUAACACAUAUAAUAAUAUCAUCGCACACAGUUGUAGUAUUCGCCAUACGGUAAUAACGCUGCACGGACGGUCGUCUAUAUAUUUCGAUAUAAAUAGUUUCGAUUAAACGGUUUAUUAUUCGACCAGAAUAUUAUAAUAUCAUUACGCAUCGUAUUGUAUUUUAUUGUUAUUAUUUUUUUUCGCGUCGCCUUCGGACAGCACAAUGGCACGGAUAUUCUUCCGGCCCCCCUAACGAAACGGUCACAACUAAAUUACAACGAAAAGGUUUUGUAAAAGUAAACUCUCUCUGGUCAUUUAUUUUCUGCAGAGAAUACAUUGUCUGCGAACAAGCAUUUGUGAUAUCCACGCUCACGGAUGGAACGCGGUAACGGGACUUCCGGAGCUGCCGGCGGUGCAGCGCACAUAUCGCCGUACUGCGGUGAUCUGCUGGUCGACAUGCACGAUGUGUACGUCCACUACCACGGUUACGCCAGCCUUCUGGUGUGCGCAUUCGGUUCGGUUGCGAACGUGCUCAACAUCGCCGUGCUGACGCGCAAGGAAAUGGUCUCGCCCACCAACGCCAUACUCACCGGGCUGGCCGUGGCCGACCUGCUGGUUAUGGUCGAGUACGUGCCGUUCGCUUACCACAUGUACCUCCGACCGACCAACUAUCCGCGCGCCGACCGCUUCUCCUACAACUGGUCACUAUUCGUCUUGCUCCACUCUGACUUUUCGCAGGCUUUUCACACCAUAUCCAUAUGGCUGACGGUCACCCUGGCCGUGUGGAGGUACGUGGCCGUGGUACACCCGCAGCUCAACCGGAUAUGGUGCCGGAUGGAGACCACUCUGUCAGCGAUCGCGUUGGGCUACGUAGUGUGCCCGAUCAUCUGCAUACCCAGUUACCUGUCGUUCAACCUAUUCUCGCGGGUGGAGACGCUGGACGUGAACGGCAACCGUCCGACGGCAGUGCUACAGUCGGCGCUGCGGCGGGCCAAUAACGGCACCGAUGUCCACAGCGGCCACGGCACCGGUGGAGGCGCCGGUGGAAGCGGUGGAGCCGGUGGUGGAGGCGGUGGCGGAGUGGCAAAUGGCAGCCACGGCGGUGUCGGGCCGCUGCGCAACGUCACACUGUACUACGUCAACGUCAGCGACCUGGCCACGUCCACGUACUUGGCCGAUAUCAAUUUUUGGGUGUACAGCGUCGUCAUCAAGAUCAUACCGUGCGUGGCGCUCACGGUUCUCAGUCUGCGGCUGAUAUGCGCGCUGUUGGAGGCCAAACGCCGCCGGGCCAAGCUGACGGGCAGCGGCCGCAAGUCGGCCGACAAAGAGCGGCAGACGGACAGGACCACCCGGAUGCUGUUGGCCGUGCUCAUGUUGUUCCUGAUCACCGAGUUCCCACAGGGCAUACUCGGCCUGCUCACGCUGUUGCUCGGCAAGCGGUUCUUCCAGGACUGCUAUCAGAACAUGGGCGAGGUAAUGGACAUGCUGGCGCUGGUCAAUUCGGCCAUCAACUUCAUACUGUACUGCGUGAUGAGCCGGCAGUUCCGCAACACGUUCAGCCUGCUCUUCCUGCCGUCCUGGAUCUCCAAGGUUGAGUCACAAGCUCUGUCGCACGGUAACCCGACCACUACGCAAGUCACGCAAGUCUAAGGCGAUUGCUCUUUCGUGGUCGUUGUGUCCCCCCCACGAUCGACCUGUCGUCGUCGUCGUCGUCGUCGUCGUCGUCGUAGCAUUUAUGUGCGCCACCCACCACCCACAAACCAUCGGCACCGAUCAUCACCGCCGACGACGAGGACGACGACGCCGUUAAUGCAGCAGUGUAGACCGGACAAAAGAGUGCUGACCUGAAGAUGUUUUUGAUUCCUG